GCUUUCAAUGAAAACGAGGGGGGCGCGGAGGAGGAGGCGUCGGCGUCGGUGGCGGCGGCGACGGCGGCGCGGAGGCGAAGGCAGCGGCGGGCGCAGCGAGGCGGGCGAGGCCGGGGGCCGAGAGGGCGGGAGGGCGUAGUGGCGGCCCGUCGGGGCGGCUGAGGCGGGCAGCUGAAGCAGUGGCUCUCGGAGGGGGAACAAAGAGCAGCGACUAAGGCGGCAGAGGAGCGGCGGCGGUGGCGGCGCUGCAGCAGCGGGCGGGACUGGUAUGGUGGUUCCACAGGUCAGACCCCGCUGCACUCACAGGGAGGAGGAGGCGGCAGCGGCGGAGGAAGGCGGCGCACCCCGAGAGGUGGAUUGUCUCAUUAUUAGUGCUGAAUCUUCUUGUCUACUUGUAUCUGGGAAUUUAACUUUGAAGAGGAAGAGAGUGAAUAUGAAUAACUGAAAAAUAAAAUG
rnacentral:sRNA from 1 species